GAUGAACGCUGGCGGCGUGCCUAACACAUGCAAGUCGAGCGAUUUACUUCGGUAAAGAGCGGCGGACGGGUGAGUAACGCGUGGGUAACCUGCCCUGUACACACGGAUAACAUACCGAAAGGUAUGCUAAUACGAGAUAAUAUGCUUUUAUCGCAUGGUAGAAGUAUCAAAGCUUUUGCGGUACAGGAUGGACCCGCGUCUGAUUAGCUAGUUGGUGAGGUAACGGCUCACCAAGGCGACGAUCAGUAGCCGACCUGAGAGGGUGAUCGGCCACAUUGGAACUGAGACACGGUCCAAACUCCUACGGGAAGCAGCAGUGGGGAAUAUUGCACAAUGGGCGAAAGCCUGAUGCAGCAACGCCGCGUGAGCGAUGAAGGCCUUCGGGUCGUAAAGCUCUGUCCUCAAGGAAGAUAAUGACGGUACUUGAGGAGGAAGCCCCGGCUAACUACGUG
rnacentral:rRNA from 1 species